AGAGAUGUGUAUAGAGAAGAUGCUAAAGUAGGCGAGUUUCCGUAUCAGGUCUCUCUUCAAGACAAAGAUUCUGACAUCCAUUUUUGUGGCGGCUCAAUUCUGAACGAAAAUUGUGUCAUCACGGCAGCUCACUGCGUCGUGGGAGAAGAGGCCGAUGGAAUAAAAGUUGUUGCUGGCACCAUCAACCUAACUGACCCGAAAUCAAAGCAUAACGUCGUAAAAAUCAUUGUGCACAGAGGAUAUAGUAAUAAACCAUCUGAUUCCUGGACUAACGAUAUUGCGCUACUGAAG